rnacentral:rRNA from 1 species
ACGCUCGACACCUACGUGAGGCAGCAGUGGGGAAUAUUGCACAAUGGAGGAAACUCUGAUGCAGCGACGCCGCGUGAGCGAAGAAGUAUUUCGGUAUGUAAAGCUCUAUCAGCAGGGAAGAAAAAGGACGGUACCUGACUAAGAAGCUCCGGCUAAAUACGUGCCAGCAGCCGCGGUAAUCUGAGCGGGCUGGCAAGGC